rnacentral:rRNA from 1 species
GGGUCAGUAGGUUGGUCGUGCCACCGGUACGUACUGGUCUCACUGAUUCCUCCUUCCUGAAGAACCUUAAUGCCAUUAAUUUGGUGUUGCGGGGAAACAGGACUGUUACUUUGCAAAAAUUAGAGUGUUUAAAGCAAGCUAACGCUUGAAUACAUUAGCAUGGAAUAAUGAAAUAGGACGAUCGAUCCUAUUUUGUUGGUUUCUAGGAUUGACGUA